CAGUCGCCGCGGUAAUACAGAGGGUGCGAGCGUUAAUCGGAUUUACUGGGCGUAAAGCGUGCGUAGGCGGCUUCUUAAGUCGGAUGUGAAAUCCCUGAGCUUAACUUAGGAAUUGCAUUCGAUACUGGGAAGCUAGAGUAUGGGAGAGGAUGGUAGAAUUCCAGGUGUAGCGGUGAAAUGCGUAGAGAUCUGGAGGAAUACCGAUGGCGAAGGCAGCCAUCUGGCCUAAUACUGACGCUGAUGUACGAAAGCAUGGGGAGCAAACAGGAUUAGAUACCCCGGUAGUCCCUGUCUCUUAUAC
rnacentral:rRNA from 1 species